rnacentral:rRNA from 1 species
UGCCGCGUGAGUGAAGAAGGCCUUCGGGUUGUAAAGCUCUUUUGUCAGGGAAGAAAAGGCUACGGAUAAUACCUGUGGCUCAUGACGGUACCUGAAGAAUAAGCACCGGCUAACUACGUGCCAGCAGCCGCGGUAAUACGUAGGGUGCAAGCGUUAAUCGGAAUUACUGGGCGUAAAGCGUGCGCAGGCGGUUUUGUAAGACUGUCGUGAAAUCCCCGGGCUCAACCUGGGAAUGGCGAUGGUGACUGCAAGGCUAGAGUUUGGCAGAGGGGGGUAGAAUUCCACGUGUAGCAGUGAAAUGCGUAGAUAUGUGGAGGAACACCGAUGGCGAAGGCANCCCCCUGGGUCAAAACUGACGCUCAUGCACGAAAGCGUGGGGAGCAAACAGGAUUAGAUACCCUGGUAGGCCACGCCCUAAACGAUGUCUACUACUUGUCGGGUCUUAAUUGACUUGCUAAGGCANCUAACG